rnacentral:rRNA from 1 species
AUUGAACGCUGGCGGCAGGCUUAACACAUGCAAGUCGAGCGGAGAGAGGUAGCUUGCUACUGAUCUUAGCGGCGGACGGGUGAGUAAUGCUUAGGAAUCUGCCUAUUAGUGGGGGACAACAUUUCGAAAGGAAUGCUAAUACCGCAUACGUCCGACGGGAGAAAGCAGGGGAUCUUCGGACCUUGCGCUAAUAGAUGAGCCUAAGUCGGAUUAGCUAGUUGGUGGGGUAAAGGCCUACCAAGGCGACGAUCUGUAGCGGGUCUGAGGGGAUGAUCCGCCACACUGGGACUGAGACACGGCCCAGACUCCUACGGGAGGCAGCAGUGGGGAAUAUUGGACAAUGGGCGGAAGCCUGAUCCAGCCAUGCCGCGUGUGUGAAGAAGGCCUUAUGGUUGUAAAGCACUUUAAGCGAGGAGGAGGCUACUUUAGCUAAUACCUAGAGAUAGUGGACGUUACUCGCAGAAUAAGCACCGGCUAACUCUGUGCCAGCCGCCGCGGUAA